rnacentral:lncRNA from 1 species
ACAGGGAUGUGGGAUGACGAGGACAGGGGAACAGGGAUGGGGACAGGGGGAUGGGGACGGGGACAGGGAUCUGGGAUGGGGCCGGGCAUGGGAUGGGGACAUGGGGAUGGGGCCGUGGGCUGGGGACAGGGACAUGAGAUGGGGACAGGGACAUGGGAUAGGGACAAGGGAAUGGGGACGUGGGACGGGGACAUGGGUACAGGGACAUGGGAUGGGGACGGGCAUGGCAUGGGGACAGGGACAUGGAGGCGUGGGAUAGGGACAAGGGAAUGGGGAUGUGGGAUGGGGACAGGGAUGUGGGAUGGGGACAUGGGGACAGGGCCAUGGGGACAUGGGAUGGGGACAUGGGAUGGGAAUGGGGACAUGGGAUGAUGGGGACGGGGCCGUGGGACGGGGCCGUGGCGGCUGGGACACGGCGGGGCGGGAGGGCCGGGGCUGUUACGGGGCCCCGGGGCCGGGGUUCGUGGGCCCGGCCGAGCCCGGGUCGGGGGUCUCACCCCCCCCCCUCCCCGUGUCCCCCCCCCAGCCGUGGUGGUGGGCGCCGACCGCGUGGCCGCCAACGGGGACACGGCCAACAAGAUCGGGACGUACGCGCUGGCGCUGGCGGCGCGGCACCACGGGGUCCCGCUCUACGUGGCCGCCCCCAGCGCCUCCUGCGACCCCGCGCUGCCCCGCGGGGACCUCCUGCCCCUCGAGGAGCGC